rnacentral:misc_RNA from 1 species
GAUGAAGAACGUAGUGAAAUGCGAUAAGUAAUGUGAAUUGCAGAAUUCAGUGAAUCAUCGAAUCUUUGAACGCACAUUGCGCCCUCUGGUAUUCCGGGGGGCAUGCCUGUUCGAGCGUCAUUACAACCCUCAAGCUUUGCUUGGUAUUGGACAUUGCCAGUUUCUGGCAGGUCUUAAAAUCAGUGGCGGUGCCAUUUGGCUUCAAGCGUAGUAAUUCUUCUCGCUUUGGAGAUCCAGGUGGUUACUUGACAAUAACCCCCAAUUUUUUCAGGUUGACCUCGGAUCAGGUAGGGAUACCCGCUGAACUUAAGCAUAUCAAUAAGCGGAGGA